UGGGGAAUAUUGGACAAUGGGCGAAAGCCUGAUCCAGCGACGCCGCGUGGGUGAAGAAGGCCUGCGGGUUGUAAAGCCCUUUCGGUGGGGAUAAAAAGCCUUGGUCUAACACACCAGGGUCUUGAUCUAACCCAAGAAAGAAGCACCGGCUAACUCUGUGCCAGCAGCCGCGGUAAUACAGAGGGUGCAAGCGUUAAUCGGAUUUACUGGGCGUAAAGCGUGUGUAGGUGGCUUCCUAAGUCGGUUGUGAAAUCCCUGGGCUCAACCUGGGAAUUGCAGUCGAUACUGGGAAGCUCGAGUUCGGUAGAGGGUGACGGAAUUCCCGGUGUAGCGGUGAAAUGCGUAGAUAUCGGGAGGAACAUCGAUGGCGAAGGCAAUCACCUGGGCCUGAACUGACACUGUGACACGAAAGCGUGGGUAGCAAA
rnacentral:rRNA from 1 species